rnacentral:tRNA from 1 species
AACAAAGAAGUAAAAAAGCUACACUUAGUUUCGACCUAAGCUCAAGGAUUAUAAAUUUCCUCAUGUUU